rnacentral:ncRNA from 2 species
GCUUCCAGCUGGGGGUGCCCGCCGGGUUUUGCGGCCGGGCUGAGAAACACCCUUUGAACCUGAUCCGGGUAGUGCCGGCGAAGGGAAGCCUGUCGAGGUUCCU